rnacentral:rRNA from 2 species
AGAGUUUGAUCCUGGCUCAGAACGAACGCUGGCGGCAGGCUUAACACAUGCAAGUCGAACGCUCGUAGCAAUACGGGAGUGGCAGACGGGUGAGUAACGCGUGGGAACAUACCCUCCGGUUCGGAAUAGCUCAGGGAAACUUGGAUUAAUACCGGAUACGGCUGAGAGGCGAAAGAUUUAUCGCCGGAGGAUUGGCCCGCGUUCGAUUAGCUUGUUGGUGAGGUAACGGCUCACCAAGGCGAUGAUCGAUAGCUGGUCUGAGAGGAUGAUCAGCCACAUUGGGACUGAGACACGGCCCAAACUCCUACGGGAGGCAGCAGUGGGGAAUAUUGGACAAUGGGCGCAAGCCUGAUCCAGCCAUGCCGCGUGAGUGAUGACGGCCUUAGGGUUGUAAAGCUCUUUCGCUCGGGACGAUAAUGACGGUACCGAGAUAAGAAGCCCCGGCUAACUUCGUGCCAGCAGCCGCGGUAAUACGAAGGGGGCUAGCGUUGUUCGGAAUUACUGGGCGUAAAGCGCGUGUAGGCGGGUCUUUAAGUCAGAGGUGAAAUGCCAAGGCUCAACCUUGGAACUGCCUUUGAUACUGGAGAUCUUGAGUCCGAGAGAGGUGAGUGGAAUUGCGAGUGUAGAGGUGAAAUUCGUAGAUAUUCGCAAGAACACCAGUGGCGAAGGCGGCUCACUGGCUCGGAACUGACGCUGAGACGCGAAAGCGUGGGGAGCAAACAGGAUUAGAUACCCUGGUAGUCCACGCCGUAAACGAUGGAUGCUAGCCGUUGGGGAGCUUGCUCUUCAGUGGCGCAGCUAACGCUUUAAGCAUCCCGCCUGGGGAGUACGGUCGCAAGAUUAAAACUCAAAGGAAUUGACGG